AAGAGACGUUGCCCUUCGGGGUAUACCUCCCACCCUUUGUUUAUUAUACCUUUGUUGCUUCGGCGGGCCCGUCCUCGGACCACCGGCUUCUGCUGGUCAGUGCCCGCCAGAGGACCUAAAACUCUGUUUGUUAAUAUUGUCUGAGUACUAUAUAAUAGUUA
rnacentral:misc_RNA from 1 species